GACGAACGCUGGCGGCGGGCUUAACACAUGCAAGUCGAACGGAAAGGCCCUGCUUUUGUGGGGUGCUCGAGUGGCGAACGGGUGAGUAACACGUGAGUAACCUGCCCUUGACUUUGGGAUAACUUCAGGAAACUGGGGCUAAUACCGGAUAGGAGAUCCUGCUGCAUGGUGGGGGUUGGAAAGUUUCGGAGGUUGGGGAUGGACUCGCGGCUUAUCAGCUUGUUGGUGGGGUAGUGGCUUACCAAGGCUUUGGCGGCUAGCCGGCCUGGGAGGGUGACCGGCGACAUGGGGACUGAGAUACGGCCCAGACGCCUACGGGAGGCAGUAGGGGGGAAUAUUGUACAAUGGGCGGAAGCCUGAUGAAGCAACGCCGCGUGCGGGAUGACGGCCUUCGGGUUGUAAACCGCUUUCGCCUGUGACGAAGCGUGAGUGACGGUAAUGGGUAAAGAAGCACCGGCUAACUACGUG
rnacentral:rRNA from 1 species